CUCAAAUGAUGUCACUGAUCCUGCACUCCAGGAUGGAUUAACAAAGACAAGAAUAAUGAAAUGAUGGAGGGGAGCCUCAACACUCAACGUUCCGUCAGUGACAUAUUCUCCCUCCUCCAUGCUCAGCUCCACUUCCCCACUUGGGGGACUUCAUCUUGUGCUGCCUCUAUCAUCAUUUGAUUCUGAGUUCAAAACGCCACUUUCAAGGCAUUAUGCCCGGUUCAAAGAGUGUAUUUUGGUUCCAAAACUGAAGGGCAAAUAUUUUUAGAUUAGCAGUUCAGCAAAGAUGACAUCCAUGGCUCUGAAACGAGGAGCACGUUAGUCACCCUCGGACAACAGGAGAACCCAUUCCAGUCAAUAAACCUAAAGCAGCCGGGAGCCAGACUCCCUCCCCUCUGAGCCCUCAACUCAUACCCCUGCCCCUGGCAGUUCAGACACAAGCUCGGCACAAUCAGACGGCCUUGCUGAGGCGUCACCGGCUGCAGGCAAGUGCACGUGUGCCCAGUGUACUGUGAUGAGCUUUGACAUCUGUGCACGCCUGUGAAGCCGUCACGCCAGUCGACACGACACAUCCCACCACUGACACGACACAUCCCACCCUCUGUUAGUCGGCAUCUUCUAGAGCUGUUAAGAGGGAAUCUGCCAUGAUCUUUCACCCACCUUGCCCUCAGGCUCUGCUCCCAGGCCCUCCUCCCAUCACACUCCUCGAGGCCUCACACUGCUUUUAUUGCCCCCUCCACUGCUGGCCCGGCUCUUCCAUCACACACGAAUUACCAUGGUCUGCGUCGCAACAGACGACAGACGCCACCGACUAUCACAGCCUACAGCCUACAGACGUCGGACGUCACCGACUGCCGAGAUAAGCUUUUAGGGGUCUCCCUGCCUGGAGGGGGUCCUUGCUCCAACUCAUCCAUGUCACCAAUCGUUUCUGCUCUCAAGAUACAGUGACAACCGAGUCGUUCUGCAGACUGAAAGGCAGCCCUGUCUCUGCUGUGGGACCUCGGCAGUCCCAGCAUCUUCCGUGAGUCACUGCCUCCCCUGGGGCCUCUGGAGCAGGUCUCUGCUGUACUGUUGUUCACUUGUCAGGAGCUGUCUCAUCUCCACUACGAGGCUGUCACCUCCUGCCUCACCUGAUGCUGUGCCCUGCUGGAGGGGGACCCCAAUAAAAGCUAGCGAAUGAACAGAGAGGAGCAUACACAACUUCAGCAAGGUUCAGAAGAGACUCCGAG
rnacentral:lncRNA from 1 species